rnacentral:lncRNA from 1 species
GAAUCCCAAUCCAUUAUUGAUUUAGCUGUCUCUUCCCCUGAAUCCAAUAGGACAGAGAGUAUUGCAGCGUUGGAUAAUUAUCCAACUAGUGGUGCCGUAUCUUCAGUUGGAGGGUAAGAGCGAUUCAAUAUCUUGAUCAUCUAAAUUAGAUCGUCUUUGUCAUCAUGGCCACUUUUCAUAUCUAAUACCUCAAAUUGCUGUAUUCAUUUUUAGCUUCAUCAUUUUUAUUUUCUUUUUCUCUUUCCCUUUUCCCCCGUUCUGAGAUCCUUUUCUUAAACUUUACCUGGAGUAAGUCAAAUUGCUAAGAACAGUGCAUACUGGCAAUAUCCUUAUCAGCCUAUUUUAACCUGAUGUAUAAUCACUGAGUUACAUGCUUUAUUUUGCUGCAUGUAGGGUCACAUGAAUAACGCUCAUACAAAUGAAAUUCUCUUGUUUGCAAAGUGGGAUACUUUUGUCCCCAAAAAGGGUCCAUUUCAUGAUGCUUUACGAGACAGCCAUUUAGGGCAUUUGGUAUAUGUUGUCGUGAGGUUGCAGAAAUAAUUUGUUGACA